AAAGUAAACAACACCCCAAGUGUCCGGGAACAAAGGCAAGUUGUCUUUCCACGGUGUCAGAGCCGUGUGCCUCUCGUGAAGAAUAAGAGCUAUUAUUACUCGUUAUGUCUUAUCCUUUUUUUUUUUUUUUCCAAACCAAGUUUCCUUCUAAGGGAAAUAAACACCAAAGGUAGGAUUCCAAGGAAAUGACUCACGGCGGCUGGCAGGGCUCUGGCGAGGCUGGCCCGGGCCCCGCGCUCCAGCCCGCAGCGAUGCCCGCCCAGCGCUCCCUCCGUCGCCGGCCAAACCCACUGGGAGCCCACCGCUGCGGGGCUGCCCUGCGCGUCCAUGGGACCCAGCGGCGAGGACGCCACCCUAGUCCCGCGGUCACCUCUCCCGCGGCUUCUGCGGCCACAGCUGGGCACUCGGGAAAGUUGCUAGGGCCGAAGAGACGGGAGGGGAGGAAGGGAGGAGAGAGGCAGAGGCGUGGACCAGGCGGGCAGCAGCCUCAGCCCGCCGGGGAGUGAUCCUCUGACUGUGAAAAAACCAAACCUCUGGCUGCCUGGCUCCCUAGGAAUCCAGGAGUUGCACAGACUGAAAAUCAGGGAGGGAAGGAAGGAGAUCAAGGAUGAGGAUUAGCAUGUGCAAAUUGAACUCUAUCUAAUUUGCAUGUUUAUUUCUUAGAAUUGUAAUUAAAUUUGUGUAAUAAAUGUUUUCCAUUUCAUUUGUACACUUAAAAUUUGGGUGACUGACAUGCUGUUAAGUGAAUUUCCUUUCUUUUUUUUUUUAUAAAGCAAAUGCAGUUUAUUCAAUAAAACAGCAAACAAAUAUUAAACAUAAUUAGAACUAA